UUUUUUUUAUUUACUUUUUUUUUUUUUUUUUUUUUUUUUUCCAUCGG
rnacentral:ribozyme from 1 species